UCUUAGCAAACUGGUAUGUUAAGUGCGCCA
rnacentral:piRNA from 1 species